UCCGGGGUGACCCGGAAUCUGAAGGAAGCGAGCGGCAAACCUCCGGUCCGAGGAACACGAAUCUCAUAGAAGGCUUUCUGCAUUGGAUGAGUCUGCCAAACAAGGCAAAGUCCAAACUGCCAAAGGUGUAGGAAGUAAAUGAGGCGGAUAGAUGGAGGGAAAGACUGCACUC
rnacentral:ncRNA from 1 species